rnacentral:misc_RNA from 1 species
GAGGAUGUGUUUUAUAUGGACGAAGAGGCUGUUUUUGGAAUGCCGGGACUGCUGGCAUAUAUGGCAGAAGGAAUGCUAUUGCCUCCACCUCAAUGCGUUGAAGAGAGUGGAGAGGACAAAGAAACGGAUGCAGCAGAUGUGUCAUUAUGGAGUUUUUCUAUAUAAUUUAUUAAGAAAAUAAAUUUUAUGUUUUUACUAGGCAAAUAGAACUAAAAUGUUCGAUGCCCUGCACCCUCAGGCUUGACUUGGUGUUCGGUGCAUCUCCAGCCUAGGAUAAGAUUCUAGGCUGAAGUAUUUAUACUACUUGUAGAUCCUAAAAAGUACUCCCUCCGUACUUAAAUAUUUUUUUACUAGUACGGUAAGAAGAUUGAAAGGUUGAAUUGGGGGCGUGUGUGCCAGACUGAAAUUGAUGUUAUAUGGGAAGUUUAGUGCUUAGUAUUUAGUGAUGUGCGCGUCAUAUUGCCAUAAAUACAUCCCCAGUGGCAGUUGUUGUACUUUGCGGGCAAUUAUGAUCCAUGUAUUGAUGUGGAUUAUCCAAAGUUACACACUGAAAAAAUCC